UACGUAGGGGGCGAGCGUUGUCCGGAGUUACUGGGCGUAAAGCGCACGCAGGCGGUGCUGCGCGGUUGGGGUUACAGCUCCCGGCUCAACCGGGAGAGCGCCUCGAAGACGGCAGCACUUGAGGGACAGAGAGGGACACGGAACUCCGGGUGGAGUGGUGAAAUGCGUAGAUAUCCGGAAGAACACCAAAGGCGAAGGCAGUGUCCUGGCUGGUACCUGACGCUCAGGUGCGAAAGCUAGGGGAGCGAACGGG
rnacentral:rRNA from 1 species